rnacentral:lncRNA from 1 species
AAUUAAACACUAGGAACUGAAAUGGACGGAAAUUAAAUUAAAGACUAACAAUAAAGAAAACUAACUAAAUAAUAUAAUUUAAUAAUGGGUGGGUGUUUGGUUUUGACGAGAACUAAAUUAAACUUAAAUAAAUUACAGAAUUGACAAAAACAUGAAAUUAAGGUGAAAUGAUAGGUGACAGACUAGCUAGAGGGUUCUUCUCCACACAUGACACAUAUGCAACCUAAAUUGAUUUUCAGUUGUUCUUUCAAUAAAUUGUAAAUCUCAACGCCCCAAAUUAACCAUGAAUUGCAUAAAUUAAUUCUCAGAUUUUCCUUAAGUUAAUGGAUUGGAUGAUUGCAUACGACAACCCAAAACAUUUCCUACAAGUUCCCUACAUGAAUUGCAUAAUAGAGAACAAGCAAGAAUCAUUAAGUUCUAUGAAAAACAUAAACAUUGACUAGGCAUUCAUAACUAUGGAAUACGCAUGUUAAUCCAGCCUAGAAUUUACUUAACGCGAUCGUUUAUAAGCGACCUCCACUACUUGUGAAUAUAAGUUCAUAACGAUUAGGUGAAAUUCACUUAUAUUCUAGCAUCAAAUUCAUGCAUGUAAAUUAAGCAUGCAUUCUUAAUCGACAUACAAAAAUAAGUUAUCAAUCAAGCAGUUAAGCAAAUUAAAUCACAACUCAGAAAUCACAACUGAAGGUAAUCAAUUCAUAUUACAAAUAUAUACAUGGUUUCGAAUCAACCUCUAGCCAAACUAAAAUUAGUUACACAUUAUUAAAACACAAAUAAAAUAUAAGUUGGAAGGAAGUAACCGGAGGAUAAAGGAGUUUUUUUCUUCUGUCCGUGGCUUCUGUUUCUGUCCCUCGCACGAGAUACCCACGCUGCCCAAGUGGCAGCUUAUUCCCCCAAUCCCGUGCUUGGUCUCUGUGCUCACCGCUGACAGUCUCUCCCUCCUUCUUUUCCACGUUGCCCGUCUCCUGCUCUCUGCUGCAAAGGCAGCCCUCUGCUUCUUUCUCUCACGCUGCCCCAAGCAGCUUUCUUCUUCCUUUCGGUCCUCUUCCCUGUCCCCCUUCUAUUUCUCCUUCUGAUUCUUCUUUCAUUUCUUUUGUUUAUUCCUUCCACAUUUCCCUGUCUCCCACUUAUUCUUCAUAUAUUUCUUAUUUUUCCACUUGCUGUCAUGCAUUCCAUUUUCUUUUAUUCUUUCCUAGCAGUCGUGCUCUCCCACUCCCUCUAACCUACUCUCCCUCUUAUUCUUCUUUCAUCUAUUUUUUAUUCCUUUCCUUUUUUUAUUCCUUUCUUUUCUUCUUCUCCAUCCGUUCCUUUCUUUUCUUCUACAAAACAAAACCAUCAUGUGAUGUUUCAAACAUCAUGAUGACUUAUCAUUAUUAUAUAUAUAUAUUUUUUUAAUUUUAUUUAAAAGCUGAUCUACACAGACAGUUUUGACGAAUUUAUUACAUAAAAUUUCACUUGUUCUAUUUUUAUUUUCUUUGCAUAACAAAUCCUAUAAACACAAAAAUAACGUAAAUAACUCAAAAAUAUAAGGAACUAACUAAGAAAAGACGAGUGAAUUCGAAGUAAAAAUAUAUAUAAAUAUGAUCCGAUCAGGAACCUGGAUGCUUGAGAGCUUCGGAGUUUCAGAGCUUCAGAGCUUCAAGGUGUAAUAUGAAUUGGUUCC